rnacentral:rRNA from 1 species
CAUGCAAGUCGAGGGGAAACGGCAUCAAGCGCUUGCGCCUGAUGGACGUCGACCGGCGCACGGGUGAGUAACGCGUAUCCAACCUGCCCCACACUAAGGGAUAACCCGCAGAAAUGUGGACUAAUACCUUAUAUUUUCCACCAAGGGCAUCGUCGAUGGAACAAAGAUUUAUCGGUAUGGGAUGGGGAUGCGUCCGAUUAGGUUGUUGGCGGGGUAACGGCCCACCAAGCCUUCGAUCGGUAGGGGUUCCGAGAGGAAGGUCCCCCACAUAGGAACUGAGACACGGUCCUAACUCCUACGGGAGGCAGCAGUGAGGAAUAUUGGUCAAUGGGCGUGAGCCUGAACCAGCCAAGUAGCGUGCAGGAAGACGGCCCUAUGGGUUGUAAACUGCUUUUAUGCGGGGAUAAAGGAGUCCACGUGUGGAUUUUUGCAGGUACCGCAUGAAUAAGGACCGGCUAAUUCCGUGCCAGCAGCCGCGGUAAUACGGAAGGUCCGGGCGUUAUCCGGAUUUAUUGGGUUUAAAGGGAGCGUAGGCCGCGUUUUAAGCGUGUUGUGAAAUGUAGACGCCCAACGUCUGCAUCGCAGCGCGAACUGGGACGCUUGAGUACGCGCAACGUUGGCGGAAUUCGUCGUGUAGCGGUGAAAUGCUUAGAUAUGACGAGGAACUCCGAUUGCGAAGGCAGCUGACGGGAGCGGCACUGACGCUUAAGCUCGAAGGUGCGGGUAUCAAACAGGAUUAGAUACCCUGGUAGUCCGCACAGUAAACGAUGGAUGCCCGCUGUGUGCCAUUUAUGGUACGCGGCUAAGCGAAAGCGUUAAGCAUCCCACCUGGGGAGUACGCCGGCAACGGUGAAACUCAAAGGAAUUGACGGGGGCCCGCACAAGCGGAGGAACAUGUGGUUU